UACGGAGGGUGCAAGCGUUAAUCGGAAUUACUGGGCGUAAAGCGCGCGUAGGCGGUUUAGUAAGUCGGGUGUGAAAGCCCCGGGCUCAACCCGGGAACUGCAUCCGAUACUGCUAGACUAGAGUAUGGUAGAGGGAAGUGGAAUUCCACAUGUAGCGGUGAAAUGCAUAGAGAUGUGGAGGAACACCAAUGGCGAAGGCAACUUCCUGGACCAAUACUGACGCUGAGGUGCGAAAGCGUGGGGAGCAAAC
rnacentral:rRNA from 1 species